UCAGGUUUUGGAAGCAUCGGGCUAAGUGGUGAUUAUGCUCAGGUUUUGAUGCAGUGAGAUUCAGAUAAUUUUAAGAAACACAUGUAAAGGAGUCCAAAUAGGACGGGCUCGGUGUACAUGGUUUUCAGUUAAUGCAGUUUAGGUCUGACCAUCACAAGUGGCAACAGGCAGUAGUGGAGAAGGCAUGAAGAGGCCCACAUCUGAAAAUCUCAACUAUUCUAGGAUUUUCGAGCUGCUGACCAUGUGAUUGGUAGCCGACGAUUUCUUCAUGGGUUGCUG